rnacentral:rRNA from 1 species
UAAAGAUCCGUCGGAUGAGGAUAGGCUCGCGUGACAUUAGCUAGACGGCGGGGUAACGGCCCACCGUGGCGACGAUGUCUAGGGGUUCUGAGAGGAAGGUCCCCCACACUGGAACUGAGACACGGUCCAGACUCCUACGGGAGGCAGCAGUGAGGAAUAUUGGUCAAUGGCCGGAAGGCUGAACCAGCCAUGCCGCGUGAAGGUCAGUGCCCUAUGGGCGUUAAACUUCUUUUGUGCGGGAGCAAUAAGGGCCACGCGUGGCCUGACGAGAGUACCGUACGAAUAAGCAUCGGCUAACUCCGUGCCAGCAGCCGCGGUAAUACGGGGGAUGCAAGCGUUAUCCGGAUUUAUUGGGUUUAAAGGGUGCGUAGGCUGUGAGGUAAGUCAGCGGUGAAAUGCCCCCGCUCAACGGGGUGAAGUGCCAUUGAUACUGCCUUGCUGGAAUGCGGAUGCCGUGGGAGGAAUGUGUGGUGUAGCGGUGAAAUGCAUAGAUAUCACACAGAACACCGAUUGCGAAGGCAUCUCACGAAUCCGCGAUUGACGCUGAUGCACGAAAGCGUGGGUAUCAAACAGGAUUAGAUACCCUGGUAGUCCACGCUGUAAACGAUGAUGACUAACCGUCGGCGAUACACAGUC